rnacentral:rRNA from 1 species
CCUACGGGAGGCAGCAGUGAGGAAUAUUGGUCAAUGGCCGGAAGGCUGAACCAGCCAUGCCGCGUGAAGGUCAGUGCCCUAUGGGCGUUAAACUUCUUUUGUGCGGGAGCAAUAAUGGUCACGUGUGGCCAGACGAGAGUACCGUACGAAUAAGCAUCGGCUAACUCCGUGCCAGCAGCCUCGGUUAUUCUGGGGAUGCAAGCGUUAUACGGAUUUAAUGGGUUUAAAGGGUGCGUAGGCUGUGCGGUAAGUCAGCAGGGAAAUGCCGCCGCUCAACGGGGUGAAGGGCCAUUGAUACUGCCUGGCUGGAAUGCGGAUGCGGUGGGAGGAAUGUGGGGUGUAGCGGUGAAAUGCAUAGAUAUCACACAGAACACCGAUUGCGAAGGCAUCUCACGAAUCCGCGAUUGACGCUGAUGCACGAAAGCGUGGGUAUCAAACAGGAUUAGAUACCCCUGUAGUC